rnacentral:antisense_RNA from 1 species
AACAGAGUAUUUAGAAGUUUUACAGGUCGUUAAACUUGUUUCUAUCUGUUUUUUGUUUACUGCUUUUUCCUUAUUAACUCCUAUAUUUGUAUCCGCCCAAACCGUUUUGGUUUGGGCUUUUUUUU